rfam:Streptococcus pyogenes M1 GAS, complete genome.
UAUUUCACAAAGGAGUGCUUUGGCUGAGAUCGCAAUUGCGAAAUCCUGAGGACCUGAUCUUGUUAGUACAAGCGUAGGGAUUGUGACCAAUAAUCAA